CGUGUCCUGCAGCUCCCGGCUCGCAGAUGCACUGCUGCAGCCCGGGCACAGUGUGUGUCCCUUGCGUCCAAGGUGCUUCUGCACCAUUUGAAGCUGAGAUUUAUUGCUUAGAGGGUGGACUCUGGUAUAAUCAGUGAUGAAUCAUCAGGGACACUGCUUGGAGAGCUACUUAUCUAGGAAUACUAUUCGGUGCCUGGGGAAUAGCGGAAGGAAAGAGUAAUUUUUCAAAACCUGCCAGAAACUGAAAUUUGGGAGAAGCCUGAUGCCAGCCCACCAUUACAGAACUUACUGAAAUUGUGCUGUUUCUGAAAAUGUCUUCACUUGCAUUUUGAAGUGAAUGUUAUAUUCCCAUCUUUAAAGUAAGGUGCACAUCGUUCUUUGCAGCCAUGGUUGUGUUGAUCCUGGGAAUAGUUUCCAGAAGCUUGUGGAUGCGCUCACU